CUGCGUCCAUAUUGAAGAAGCGCGACGCCAUGUUAGACUUGGAGCUGAGACUGGCUGAGAAGACUUUAGCUCAUUUGACGAAAGAGUAUGAGACUUGUGUAAAAGGGCGCGACCCCUGUGCCAGCUCGCCUUGUUUAAACGGCUCCACUUGCUACGUCUUCAGUGGGAACGUAUGGUGUGAAUGUGUGUCGGGGUUUGGCGGAAAACACUGUGAAAAAGAUCUAGAUAACGCAAAGUAAAGGGACACAGAGUGCUGGUCCUCUACACACAAUGGAUGAUUGGAUGAUUACAAAGUUCAUCGAACUUAUUUACUGUGAAAUAUCACAUCAUGUAUGUUUUCUGCCACACAAAGUGAUAUUAGAAUUAAACAGUUGUAACCGAAUGCUGUAGUCUUUUGCGAAUUAGCUAGGCGCGAUGAAAGAUUGCGUUUUUUAGGUUUUUUUGUGUAGCAUAGAAUGAAAGAAGUUCUGCAGAUGUCAUUAACGUUACAGAAAACACCUUAUAUAAAUC